AACGAACGCUGGCGGCGUGGAUAAGACAUGCAAGUCGAGCGGGAACUUUCGCUGUAGCAAUACAGUGAAAGUUCUAGCGGCGAACGGGUGCGUAACACGUGGACAAUCUGCCUUAAAGUGGGGAUAGCUCGGCGAAAGACCGAAUUAAUACCGCAUGUGAUGAGAGACGACAUCGUCUUGAAAUACAAAGCCGGGGCGAACCUGGCGCUUUUUGUAGGAGUCCGCGGCCA
rnacentral:rRNA from 1 species